UUCAGGCAGGGUUACCGUAUUUUCCCCUCUAUAACACGCAGAUUUUUUCUCCUAAAAAGGAAGGGGAAAUGUCUGUGCGUGUUAUUGAGCGAAUGUGUGGUCCCUGGAGCCAAAAAAUCAGGCAAAAAUCAAAUCGCGAGUCACGGAGAAGGGAAACCUGAAAAGAGGAAGCGGCUGCUUUCCUGCAUUCUGCCUCAGGGUCUUACUGCCCACCCUCCUCUGUUUCGUUGCUGUGUUUGCUCAAACGGAACAAAGAGCAGGGAAAGCCCCUCCCCUCCAGGCAAGCAGAGGGGAAAGCAGAGUGUCGUUCCUUCUAAUUCCUCUCUGUGCUCCGAGAGAGAGAGAGAGAGAGAGAGCUGGCUGGUUUGGGUGCUUGGGUGGGGGGAAACUUUUGCCUUUCUUUCCUCCCUCCCGUUAAAUCCCUCUCCUGCAUUCUUAGCCAGCUGCUUCUCUGCACACCCCUCUCAUGCUCCUUUUCCCUUCUUUGUUUUUCCUUCCCUCCCCACUUAAAAUGUGGUUACAAAGCAUAGAUCCACAUGGAUCCUCAGGAUCUUUGCAUUGGGUCACCCCAAAUUCACCAUCAGAUCACAUAGCAUGUCUAUGGCUGCAGCUUGCCCC